CACACUCUCACCCUGCAGAGUGAGGCGAGGGCCCAGGCGGGCACCAGAUAAAAAAAAACUAGCUCUGAAGAGGUGGCCAUGAUCACCCAGAAAAUAAGAAAUGAAGCCAGAAUUCUGUAUACUACAUUGCUUGGCUCAAGGAUGCAGGCCCAUGGUGGACAGAGCCAGGGUCUUAUCCAUUAAUUGUAUUCU